GCGCACAAUGAGACAGCGCUGAGCGCCGGAAGUGGGGCCGAAGGAAAACACGGAGAGGGAGCCCGGCCGGGACAGGAAGAGGCGGGGGACCGCGGCGGAGGUGGUGCGGGGUAAGAAAAUUGAAGUCAAAGACCAUGGGAGAUGCAGCAAAACCGUAUUUUGUGAAACGUGCUAAGGACCGAGGGACUAUAGAUGAUGAGGAUUUCAGAAGGGGUCACCCCCAGCAAGAUUAUUUGAUAAUGGAUGAUUAUGCUAAAGGCCAUAGCAGUAAAAUGGAAAAAGGCCUUCCAAAAAAAAAAAUAACACCAGGGAACUAUGGGAGUACCCCCAGAAAAGGACCGUAUGCUGUUUCCAGCAAUCCCUAUGCAUUUAAAAACCCAAUUUACAGUCAACCUGCUUGGAUAAAUGACAACCACAAAGAUCAGAGUAAGAGGUGGCUCUCUGAUGAACUUGCUGGUAAUUCAGACAGUCGGAGGGAAUAUAAACCUGGACCUAGAAUUCCUGUUACAAACCGACCAAGAAAAGACUCCUUUCAAGAAAGUGAGGAUGGAUAUAGGUGGCAGGACACAAGAGGCUGCAGAACUGUCAGACGACUACUUCACAAAGACUUGACAAGCCUAGAAGCCAUGUCAGAAAUGGAAGCGGGAAGCCCUGAAAACAAGAAGCAGAGGUCCAGACCUCGGAAGCCACGUAGGACUAGAAAUGAGGAAAAUGAGCAGGACGGAGACUUGGAAGGCCCGGUAAUUGACGAGUCUGUGCUUUCAACGAAGGAGCUCCUGGGCUUACAGCAGGCAGAGGAGCGAUUAAAAAGAGACUUCAUUGACAGGCUAAAAAGGCGACCAAGAAACUACCCUACAGCUAAGUACACCUGCAAACUUUGUGAUGUUUUAAUUGAAUCCAUUGCAUUUGCCCAUAAGCACAUCAAAGAGAAGAGGCACAAGAAAAACAUUAAGGAGAAACAAGAGGAAGAGUUGCUCACUACGUUACCCCCGCCUACACCCUCCCAGAUUAAUGCAAUUGGUAUUGCCAUUGACAAAGUGGUACAGGAGUUUGGCUUACACAAUGAGAACUUGGAACAGAGACUAGAAAUUAAACGUAUCAUGGGAAAUGUGUUCCAACACAAGUUACCAGAUUGUUCUCUGAGAUUAUAUGGGUCAUCCUGUAGCAGAUUGGGUUUCAAAAAUUCAGAUGUAAAUAUCGACAUUCAAUUUCCAGCCAUUAUGUCUCAGCCAGAUGUUCUCUUACUUGUUCAAGAAUGUUUAAAGAACAGUGACUCUUUUAUUGAUGUUGAUGCAGACUUCCAUGCUAGGGUGCCAGUGGUGGUGUGCAGAGAAAAGCAAAGUGGUCUUCUUUGUAAAGUGAGUGCAGGAAAUGAAAAUGCUUGUUUGACAACAAACCAUUUAACUGCCCUUGGAAAACUUGAAUCGAAGCUGAUUCCUUUGGUGAUUGCCUUUCGGCACUGGGCAAAGCUUUGCAGUAUAGAUCGCCCUGAAGAAGGAGGCUUGCCACCUUAUGUGUUUGCCCUGAUGGCCAUUUUCUUUCUUCAACAGAGGAAAGAACCUCUUCUGCCUGUUUAUCUAGGAUCAUGGAUUGAAGGAUUCUCAUUAAACAAACUAGGGAACUUCAGCCUUAAAGAUGUUCAAAACGACGCUGUGUUCUGGGAAUACACUGAGAGUGCUGCUGGCGAUGCAGACAUAGCAAAAGAAGGGGCCCCAAAAGAAAUGCCUGUUAAAAGGGGACAGGUAUCAUUAAUAUUUGAUUUCAAGCACCUGCCGUCAGUGCCAGUUGGGCAGCUCUGGGUGGAAAUGCUUCGAUUCUAUGCUUUAGAAUUCAAUUUGGCUGACUUAGUGAUCAGUAUUCGUGUUAAAGAAUCUGUAUCUCGGGAAUCAAAGGAUUGGCCCAAAAAGCGCAUUGCCAUUGAAGAUCCCUACUCUGUUAAAAGAAAUGUGGCAAGGACUCUAAAUAAUCAACCAGUGUUUGAAUAUAUACUUCAUUGUUUAAGGACAACGUAUAAGUAUUUUGCCCUUCCACACAAAAUUACAAAAUCCAGCCUUCCAAAGCCUCUGACUACUGUCACAUGUCUUUCCAAACAUUCUAAAGAAGUAGCCGAGCAUGACCCGGGUACACAAGCAAAAGAGGAUAAACUGAAAAACUCAGUUUUGGCUCGAGAGCCAGGUGCUGCCAUUUCAACUACAGACACCUGCACGGUACAGCCACUGACUCUUGUUAAAGAGACGGCUGAAAGCUUUGGAAGCCCCCCAUCAGAGGAACUGGGAAAUGGGCAUGUCAGUGUCUGCCUGGAAAACCCAGACCGUAUCAAGGCAGGUGCCAGUUGUGAUGAGCAAGGGGAUAUUAAAGGACACCAUCAAGAAACAGGAAGUGAAACUGGGAGAGAGGGCAAGCAUCCUUUGACUACCGAUGAUCAAGGUUUAAGGAGUAGCAGACGUGGAGAGUUUGUCAUCUGUGGCAGCACGCAAAAUAAUGAGACAGAGAGCACUUUGCAUUUAGAAGGCUUCCAAAAUCCCGCAGCCAAAGAGUGUGAUGGAUUCACUACUUCGGAAGACAAGGCUGAUGUUGAUGAAGAAGGCAUAGAAGGUACAGAUGAUCUCGAAGAUGCUCUAAGCCACUUCACCCCCUCAAGACAGGGCCAUACGUCAGGAAUCAUUCAUUCCGAUGAAGAGGAGGAGGAAGAAGAGGAAGAGGAUGACGAUGAAGAGCCCAGGCUGUCCAUUACCCAAAGGGAAGAUGAGGAUGACUUGGCUAAUGAAGAUGAGUUAGAAAAUACAUACACGGGAUCAGGGGACGAGGAUGCCCUGUCUGAGGAGGAGGAUGAAUUAGGGGAGUCUGCUAAGUGUAAAGACUCGAAAGAAGGUGGAAAACCUGCGGCUGGGGCUCUACUAACAGAAUUUAAUAAAAUCUGUCUUAAAGAAGAAAAUACAUGUGAGGAAGGCUCAACUGUGGAUCAGUCUGAUUUCUUCUAUGAAUUUAGUAAACUCACCUUCACCAAAGGCAAGUCUCCUAUGGUCGUGUGCAGCUUAUGCAAACGAGAAGGUCAUCUCAAGAAGGACUGUCCCGAAGACUUCAAAAGAAUUCAGCUAGAACCUUUGCCACCACUGACACCCAAAUUUUCAAAUAUCUUAGAUCAAGUUUGCAUCCAAUGUUAUAAGGAUUUUUCUCCAACUAUUUUAGAAGAUCAAGCUCGUGAGCAUAUUCGGCAAAACCUAGAAAGUUUCAUAAGACAGGAGUUUCCAGGAACUAAAUUGAGCUUGUUUGGCUCCUCCAAAAAUGGAUUUGGGUUCAAACAGAGUGACCUUGACGUCUGUAUGACAAUUAAUGGACUUGAAACUGCAGAGGGGUUGGACUGUGUAAGAACUAUUGAAGAACUGGCAAGAGUCCUCAAAAAACAUUCAGGUCUGAGAAACAUUUUGCCUAUUACAACAGCAAAGGUGCCAAUUGUAAAGUUCUUCCAUUUGAGAAGUGGUCUGGAAGUGGACAUCAGUUUGUAUAACACACUGGCCCUUCAUAACACAAGGCUCUUAUCUGCUUAUUCAGCCAUUGAUCCCAGAGUUAAAUAUUUAUGCUACACCAUGAAAGUCUUUACAAAGAUGUGUGAUAUUGGUGAUGCAUCUAGAGGCAGCUUAUCGUCAUAUGCAUACACGCUUAUGGUGCUAUAUUUUCUCCAGCAGAGGAAUCCACCAGUCAUUCCUGUCCUUCAAGAGAUAUACAAAGGUGAAAAGAAACCUGAAAUAUUUGUUGAUGGCUGGAAUAUUUAUUUUUUUGAUCAAAUAGAUGAACUGCCCACCUAUUGGCCAGAAUAUGGGAAAAAUACAGAAUCUGUUGGGCAACUAUGGUUGGGACUUCUUCGAUUCUACACAGAGGAAUUUGAUUUUAAAGAACAUGUUAUUAGCAUCAGGAGAAAAAGUCUGCUUACAACUUUUAAGAAACAGUGGACCUCAAAAUACAUUGUUAUUGAAGAUCCCUUUGAUUUGAAUCAUAAUCUUGGAGCUGGAUUAUCAAGGAAAAUGACAAAUUUUAUAAUGAAAGCAUUCAUUAAUGGUAGAAGAGUAUUUGGUAUUCCAGUCAAAGGAUUUCCGAAGGACUGCCCCUCAAAAAUGGAGUACUUUUUUGAUCCAGAAGUGCUAACUGAAGGAGAGCUGGCCCCAAACGAUAGAUGUUGCCGAAUUUGUGGGAAAAUUGGACACUUCAUGAAGGACUGUCCAAUGAGGAGAAAAGUGAGACGACGGCGUGAUCAGGAAGAUACCCAGAACCAAAGAUACCCUGAGAACAAAGAGAAGAGAAGCAAAGAGGACAAAGAAAUUCAGAACAAGUACACAGAGAGGGAGGUGUCGACAAAAGAAGAUAAGCCCAUGCAGUGCACACCUCAGAAAGCCAAGCCAGUGAGGGCGGCUGUCGACCUGGGCAGAGAGAAAAUACUCAGGCCUCCAGUGGAAAAAUGGAAGAGACAGGAUGACAAAGACUUAAGAGAAAAACGUUGUUUUAUUUGUGGACGAGAAGGGCACAUUAAAAAGGAAUGCCCACAAUUUAAAGGCUCUCCAGGUGUGUCUAAAUCAGAUUGUGUAUUCGGAUCCCCUUCUUCACCUAGCCCCCUGAGACCAACUGGCGCAUUUGCUCAGGCAGUGCUUUUACAUGAAGACAAAAAGAAACAAAAAACAACUAUAUUUUUGAGUCCCCAGUCAGCCAAAGAAUUUGUUGCAAUCUGUCCUGUGUGGUUGUAAGUGAAGACACUGAUGUAUGCAAAGCAGAGGUUUCAAAAAGUCCACCUGGCCCUCUGCACCAACAUGGAAACAAGUGAUGAGAAUGAUGUCACUCUAGCAACCUUCCUGCAUUUAGAAAGAAUUUUGACUAGGUAGCCUUUCCAGUAAAUAUAUGACUCAGGGAAAAGCCUCAGCGAAGAGGACCCAGCAGGAAUCAUGAGGGAAG